CCAAUAGCGUAUAUUAAAGUUGUUGCAGUUAAAAAGCUCGUAGUUGAAUUUCGGGAUCAGUUGAUCGGUCGUGCCUCGGUACGUACUGGUCAAAUUGAUUCCUACCUUCUGACGAACCACGAUGUCAUUAAUUUGGUGUCGUGGGAAAUCAGGACUGUUACUUUGAAAAAAUUAGAGUGUUUAAAGCAGGCUCGCGCUUGAAUACAUUAGCAUGGAAUAAUGAAAUAGGACGUUUGAUUCUAUUUUGUUGGUUUCUAGGAUCGACGUAAUGAUUAAUAGGGAUAGUUGGGGGCAUUAGUAUUCAAUUGUCAGAGGUGAAAUUCUUGGAUUUAUUGAAGACUAACUACUGCGAAAGCAUUUGCCAAGGAUGUUUUCAUUAAUCAAGAACGAAAGUUAGGGGAUCGAAGACGAUCAGAUACCGUCGUAGUCUUAACCAUAAACUAUGCCGACUAGGGAUCGGAUGAUGUUAAUUUUUUAAUGACUCAUUCGGCGCCUUACGGGAAACCAAAGUGUUUGGUU
rnacentral:misc_RNA from 1 species